UAAUAUUUCUGGAGUGACUAUGACAGUUUGAAGUCAAGUGUAGAACAAACCUUUGUGCCUCUGCUCCCUCCCUCCAAAUACUAGUAUCUGAUUUCUGAUUUCUUUCCGGCUAUUCUCUGGCUAUAUUUUCCUUCCUGGCUGUUGUGCUUGGUGAUCUUCUUACCUUUUCUCAUCUGCUUUGAGAACUCUCUGAAAUUAACGAUUGGCUAAGCACAUUGGACCAAUGGCAUUUUACCUGUCUUUCCUAUGUACCUAAGAAUUACUCAAGAGUGGAAGUGUGGCCGCAAAGUUUUUCAACUUUAACAAACAGAACAGGGUAAAUUAGACUAUAUUUAAUGGUUAGAUAACUCUUGAUUUUUUUUUCUUUCUUUACACAUACAUGCAUUCAACAUAUUUUCAACCUGUUCAGUUGCCACUUAAUUCACUUAAAAUCUAGUGUUUGUAAAUUUGCUUCAAAAAAAAAGUUAUAAAACUGUGUUCCACAUCAUAAAAAGUGUGUCAGCUGACAUGUUCCAAAACCAAGCCACAGAAGUCUACUUAACACAUAUUGUGAAAAAAAUUUUUCAUCCAUUCUGAAAAUUAUUUAUAUCACUGUUGCAAUAGUAGUCAUUCAACAGUUUAAAAAAAGAGACAUAGAAAAAUAGAUAUAAAUUUGUAUAGCCAUUCUAAAAGACAUCUCCAUAUACUUUUAAAGAACUUGCAACAGGCGCUCGAGCUCAAGCUCAUGGUUCAUAUGUGCUCGGCAUGGACUUAAAUGAUGGAUUUAGCCUGGGCCCUAGUCAGUAGGGAGUAGUGGGGACGAGGAAUGCUACCAGCACCAGCCCUUCUGAUGUGGACAGUGGCCACUCAGCUCCAGCCUGUAGUCACCAUGUAGGCACACAUCAUCCAGACUGCUGGCUCUUCCAGGUUCCAAAAGGAUUCACAAGUCUAAAUUUCAGCGUACAUUGUUUUAAGUCAGUGCUGGUUAAAUAAAACACAUGCAGCGCAUGAUUUCAAGCUGGGAACUGCCAUUUUGUGACCUCAAAUUAGAGAUUUAUGCCAUCCUUUAUUCUUAUUUUAUCGGGCACAGAUCUAUAAAUAGCAUUACUCUAAUACGAAGAAGCCAUACUGGCUAGCAGAGACAAAGUGUUAUGUUUUAUUUGGUUUUGACUCCAGCAUGGACCAAAAAGAAAAAUAGGAUAUUUCUCAGUGAAUUGAGUGGGAGUUAGGAUUGUAAGAGCAGAAAAUAAAAGAAUGGGUACUUAUAUACACCUAUUUAUACAGAGCUUAAAUGUUGUUCAUUUAUUCACUCAAUACAUACUUGAGCACCUACUAAGUGCCAGGUCCUGGAAACGCAUUAGUGAACUAAGCUGAUGGUACCCUCAUGGUACUUGUGAACAGAUAGUUAAUUCAGUAAUUCUUUAAUUGCUAUUGUGAUUGAUGUAUAAGGAAGAGUAAAGGCUACUGUGAGCAUGUCUAACAGACUACGGGGGGUUGAAAAAGGCUUCUCAGAGGAGGUGACAUUUCACCUGGUGCGUGGAGGCUGAGGCGGAGUUGACUAGACUGAAGAGGCCUGAUGGGAGUGAGGAAAUUCUAGCCAAGAGGACAUUAGGUGAAAAGGUCCUGGGGUAGGAGAGUGCAGGGUGCUUGGAGGGACCAGAGGGAGGAGAGCAUGACUGGAACACAUAAAAAGGAAAGAAUGGCAGGAAGAGGGUGUCGAGAAAUCCCCCUGGACCUCAAGGACACAUAGAGGUGUUUGGUCUUUUGUUAAAAGUGUCCUUGUAGCAUAGUGCCUGAGCUCUGAUGAAUUUAAAAGGAAGGAAGAAAGAGAGGGGUAUGGUAUAGGUAUAGGACUUCCAAAACGAGAAGCAGGAAGUCAUGGAAAAUGUGUUAGAUAAUUUCUUGGUGGCAACAUUGUCAUAAAAUAAUUAGUUACCAUCCUGAGGAAUGUGCUGGGAGAUAGAGGAUGAUGAGAGUCAUCUAGGGAAAUGAAAGGAAAUUGUGUGUGUGUGUGUGUUUAUAUUGUCUCUGUGUAUGUAUGUAGAUGUGUGCUUACACACACAAAUGACAUAUCCACAUAUCUGGUGGAGUAUUUGCAAAGUGUGAGCAUGACAUGGUUAAUGAUUAUUAUCCAAAUUAGGUUUGGAGAGGAAAAUCAAAAUAAUUAAAAAAUAAUAAAAGGAUACAACACAGCAAAUUCACUGGCUGUGUUUCUAUCUUCCUUAUACUCACAAAACUAAUUUAUAUCAUCAUUAUAAAUUAAGUGUGAGAGUGUCCACUUUAUCCAGCCUAUUUGUGAAGAAAAAAGCAUCUUGCAUCUCACACCAAGAAACCAAUUCCAUUGAAUUAUGCGGAGGUUAAUACUGAUAUUCAAGGCUAAAUGAUUAGCUUCAAUCAAUACAUUAUUAUCCUUGAAUGUAGAAUUGAGAAUGAAACCACAAUUUAUAAUUUUGAGCAUGGUUUUCUUAAUGAUAUAAACAGUGUGUUUAUUCUUUAUGAAGAAAAGGAGAGAGAAAAGGAGAGAGGAAGAGAGCAGACACGCUGGUUAGAGAGAACUGAGAGAAGGAAAGUACAGGCAUUUCUUCAGGAAUAUAGUUAAUUGGGUAAUUGGGGAUCGGGUGUCACUUGAACUUAAGCCUGUGGUUAAUUCAUGGCUUAUUCUUCAGGAAUGACAUGGGCAGGGCAGUUAUUGGAAUAAUGAAUUGCUCACUUGUCCUGGGCAAAUAGAAAAUUCCCCUGGUUGAAUAAAAUUGUGGGAGGAGGCAUUUGAUAGGCUUAUUAUAGCUUAAGAGUCUGAGAGAAUGCUGUUCCUCUGACAGUCAGAAGUGAGAACUUUGGGGUACUACAUAUUUUCAGCAAAGGGGGGACGUUAACAAAUAAUUCUCAUGAAUGAGUCAUUUUUAAAAAGGCAAUUGACACUUGCUACUUAAAGCAUUUUCAAAACGAAUGUCGGAAACAGAGCUUUGUGUCACAAUUUUCAUUCAAAGUAGGGGCUGAAAUGAUAACAAGGAAUUUAAAGAGUUUUAGAGAAAAAAAAAAAAAA
rnacentral:lncRNA from 1 species